UACAUUGAAACACCAGUUCCUGUAUGAUCACUAAAGUUAAGCAAUGUUGAACCUGGUCAGUACCUAGAUGAGUGACUGCUUGGGAAUACCAGGUGCUGUAAG
rnacentral:rRNA from 1 species